GCAAGGUAGCUAGAAAUAUAAUGAUGUCCUAGUAGGUGAAGUCCAUUGACUUUCUAUAGCCUUGUGUUCUUGGAAGAAUAUUCAGUAGAACAGGCUUCCAUCAAUGAUGGUGCGACAUCAGGUUGUCCUAGUGUUACUCUUGUUUUAUCAAGUCAAGUUUCUGAAGGCUUGGAGUCAAGAAAGUUUUAUAAAGAGCAUUUUAUCAGAGUACAAUGUUAUUGAUCAGGCCAGUCUAGGGGACACCAACAAGGAUGGAGUCAUCACAGACACAGAGUUUACCAACAACCUCUACAAGCUCGCUGAUAUUAAAG
rnacentral:sRNA from 1 species